rnacentral:rRNA from 1 species
AGAGUUUGAUCCUGGCUCAGGAUGAACGCUGGCGGCACGCUUAACACAUGCAAGUCGAGCGGAGAUUGAGACUUCGGUCUUGAUCUUAGCGGCGGACGGGUGAGUAACACGUGGGUAAUCUACCUUGUACUGGGGGAUAACGUAUAGAAAUGUACGCUAAUACCGCAUAAGCCUACAGGACCGCAUGGUCCGGUAGGAAAAGGUUUACUGGUAUGAGAUGAGCCCGCGACUGAUUAGCUAGUUGGUGAGGUAACGGCCCACCAAGGCAACGAUCAGUAGCCGGUCUGAGAGGAUGGACGGCCACAUUGGGACUGAGACACGGCCCAGACUCCUACGGGAGGCAGCAGUGGGGAAUAUUGCACAAUGGGGGAAACCCUGAUGCAGCGAUGCCGCGUGAAGGAUGAAGUUCUUCGGAAUGUAAACUUCUAUCAGCAAGGAAGAAAAUGACAGUACUUGACUAAGCAGCCCCGGCUAACUACGUGCCAGCAGCCGCGGUAAUACGUAGGGGGCAAGCGUUAUCCGGAAUUACUGGGUGUAAAGGGUGCGCAGGCGGCACUCUAAGUCAGUGGUGAAACCCAUGAGCUCAACUCAUGACUUGCCAUUGAAACUGGAGAGCUAGAGUACAGGAGAGGAAAGCGGAAUUUCUAGUGUAGCGGUGAAAUGCGUAGAUAUUAGGAAGAACACCGGAGGCGAAGGCGGCUUUCUGGACUGAAACUGACGCUCAGGCACGAAAGCGUGGGGAGCAAACAGGAUUAGAUACCCUGGUAGUCCACGCUGUAAACGAUGAAUGCUAGGUGUUGGGGGGAUACCCUCGGUGCCGCAGUUAACGCAAUAAGCAUUCCACCUGGGGAGUACGAUCGCAAGAUUGAAACUCAAAGGAAUUGACGGGGCCCCGGCACAAGCGGUGGAGCAUGUGGUUUAAUUCGAUGCAACGCGAAGAACCUUACCAAGUCUUGACAUAGGGAUGAAUGAGGUGGAGACAUUUCAGUCCUUCGGGACAUCCCAUACAGGUGGUGCAUGGUUGUCGUCAGCUCGUGUCGUGAGAUGUUGGGUUAAGUCCCGCAACGAGCGCAACCCUUAUAUUCAGUAGCCAGCGCGCAAUGGUGGGCACUCUGGAUAGACUGCCGUGGAGAACACGGAGGAAGGUGGGGAUGACGUCAAAUCAUCAUGCCCCUUAUGACUUGGGCUACACACGUGCUACAAUGGCCGGCACAAAAAGAANCGAAGGGCCANCUGGANCAAGCUCAAAAGCCGGUCCCAGUUCGGAUUGCAGGCUGCACUC